GGUGGGAUGGCCGAGUGGUUAAAGGCAUCAGACUGUAAAUCUGACGACGUUAGUCUACGUAGGUUCAAAUCCUGCUCCCACCACCA
rnacentral:tRNA from 1 species